GGGUCUGCGUGCUCACGACAAGACGCUGUAUUUAGAUGGCGAACCUUUCAAACUGCUGAGUGGCGAAGUGCAUUAUUUUCGGGUCGUGCCAGAAUACUGGAAACAUAGCUUGUUAAUGGUGAAAGCUGCGGGCCUUAACACUGUUUCAACGUAUGUACCAUGGAAUUUACAUGAAGAAAUUAAAGGGAAAUUUAAUUUCAAGGAUGGCCUGCUAGACAUCGUACAAUAUUUGGAGCUGGCGCAAGAAGUUGGUUUGUAUGUAGUGCUGAGACCUGGCCCGUACAUCUGUGGGGAAUGGGAGUUUGGUG